CCAAUGUCCGGGAGCGCUCCGACCUCCGCCACCGGCCUCCCGCCGUCUCCCGUCGCGGGGAACUUUCCGGAACCGAGGCACUGAGGCCGCCGCGGGGUCGAGGCCGCUGUGGAGGGGGUUGAGGCCGCCGCGGGGUUGAGGCCGGUUGAGGCCACCGAGGAUCUGAGGUCGCCGUGGAGGAAGUUGAGGCCACCGAGGAGGUGACACCACCGAGGAGGCCAAGGGGUGAGGCCACCGAGGAGGUGAUGCCACCAGGGAGGCCGCCGAGGAGAUGACACCGCCGAGGAGGCCAAGGGGUGAGGCCGCUGGGGAGGUGACACCACCGAGGAGGCCAAGGGGUGAGGCCGCUGGGGAGGUGACACCGCCGAGGAGAUCGAGGAGGUGACGCCACCAAGGAGACAUCACCACCGAAGAGGCCAAGGGGUGAGGCCACCGGGCAGGUGAGGCCGUCAGGGAG